AUGGGUCGCCGCAUGUAGCUGGUUUUAUGAUCCAGUUCCAUCUCCGGUGCAUCGUCAUUUUCUCUACCUGUGAGGGUGUUUGGAGGACGGAGGUGAAACUGGUGUACACAUCCAUGUGACGGAGUGAACAAGCUGCCUGCAUAUAGGAAGCCAUCUGACCGCUCCUGAGGCAGUUGGCUCGUCUGUGCCCACCUAGGCCAUCUCUGAUCUAUAGCUACGUCCUUCGACACGUUCGUUACAACUACCCGCUGCAGAUGGAUAUAUGAGAGGCACCCUUAAUCGAUUUACUGCACCGGAAACAACCGUCGAACUACCUAACCGAUCCAGUAACAGCUGCGAUUUCACGAGGAGCGUAGUAUUGGCCGUUCGGAUCGAGUACCUGAAAGUUUAACGACCUUAAUAAGAAGAGGAUUAGGUGCUGCACAGGGACGCCUGUGAUACGUUCAUUUAUCACGGGAUAUGUGAAUUUGUACGUACAUGUAUACAUGGAUACGUAUACACUAAGCGUGUACAACAAUUAACAACGAAGAGAUUUUACAUGACUAUGCCCAUUGAAUCGAGGUGACAAAGGAGUCGGAAUAUCGUCAUUAUCAUAUUUGAAACUCACCGCUGAGACCGGUCGCCUUGUCGUUUGAUGACGUCGCGUCGAACACGGCCGCGUAUUCUUCGAGGCCCAGAGACCGUUUAAAGUGUUCGUCGAUCGCCGGGUCGCAGACAACGCCGCUGCUCCUGACCCCGGUUCGCUGGGUCCCCGUUGCAGCGGAUGCAGUGGCCGUGCAGGCCGCUACCGCCGUGUCCUCGACGGUCGUUCCUAAUUUCAAUCGUAAACAAUUUAACAACAGGGUGACAACAGUUGUUGAAACAGAUUCGAUCUGGACCAAUGAGAUCUCUAACCCUGCUGGUAAUAAUAAUUAAGCAAGUAGAAUUUGCGUUACUUUGCACGAAACUCAAAGGCGAAUUGGAUCGUAAGAAGAAUUUCGCUAAUCUCGAGCAUGGGAGAUAUGGGAAACCGUGCGGUAACGACUUGAGAGAUAGGGGGGAAAAAUGAGAGAAGUAAGGAAAGAAAAAAUCGAGGAAAGUGGGCCAAAAUCGAUCCCACACAUCGGAAUAGAGAUUGUAGGUAUAUACGUAGUCGCUGAGAGCGGUUGAAAGGUGUAUAUGUAUACAUAAUAACGUAAAUCGGUUAUCGGAAUGUUUGAGAUAACAAUUUUGUUUGUUUUUGAAUUAGAGGCGAAUGUUCUUAAUGCGCAUACGAGCGAAAGCUUGAUUCUUUCGUCGUGUCGUUUUGACAAAUAUAAAUAAUUAAACGAACUUGACCAGUUGGACAUACAAGGACGUUAUACAAACCGAAAGUCUGCACAUUUGGGAAACACGACGUAUACACUAUACAAUAUGUGCAUAACACGAUGCGUGUAUCGUUCGUGUGUGCGUCGCGUAGGAAUUUAGCGAUAGUAUGAGGCAGCACUGGGAUGUGUAAAUAAAAUGAAGCUGUGUAGAACGCAGGUACAUAGAAUUUACGAUAAAUAAUACAUGAUUCGAGGAAUUUUAACGUUUGUUGCAACAAAUAGCGAAGGAACGAACGAGUUACAAAGUUCGUAAGCUGUCUGGCAUCCCCAAUAACAAAUCGAUAGUGGAAUGCGGGACAGAGUAAAAAAAAAGCAGACCUUGCAUUCCUGAGGAGCUAAAUGGAAAUGUUUUACGAAGAGAGAAGACUUACCUGUUCGAUACACCUUAAUCGCAGUUCCCGUGCACCUCACACUUGGCAAUAGUGACAACCGACUGAUGUGUCGUGAAAACUUGCCCCCGGAGACUUGCUUGUAUUAUUUUUUCAUUGAGAAUUAUUAAAAUCGAAUGGUAUGCGGACAGACACACACAGCACAAGCUGUUUGACACGAGAAGUAAGUCGGGGACCCCACCACUUGUACGCAACUGGAAUGCAUGGUAUUCGUUCGAGGAGCCGACCUCUACCGGCAAAAUCGUCAAUUCUUUUGUCGUCUCGUUUCCCCGCACAACAAGCCGUCCAGCUCCUACGAUCCAUGCACUACACUCGGCCACUUUUACGUACGAAUUCUGCACACCCAUACAGACUUGUACUCAUGCGCAUACGUGUGAAUCCUUCAAAUGCACGUACAAGUAUAUCGAUGCAUUCAUAGUGCAUACGACGUUGCUUCGUAUUUGCCUACGCAACGUGCGUCAUGAAAGUUUAUUUGUCGCGUAUAUAUGCCGAACCAAGGAUUACAGACAAUAUGCAUCGGAAAUAAACCCACUCUGAUAUUCAUUAAGCCGAUACCACGCCUCUUCUUUACCGAUUGAAAUUAUCCUCAUUGCAGUUUUUCAAAUUACUUCUAAACUCGGACGUUGAAUCAAUUGUCCUACUACUGUUGUGUGGUUUAUGCAGUGUUGAAUUGACGAAUGUUGAAUGAAAACGACAAAAACUUGAUUUCAACAAAGUGUCUCUGUUGUAUUGUUUCCUGCGCAAAGAUGGCUACUUGUACUCUUCACCAAAGCGCACCGUUCGUAUAAUUCUUUGUGCAUUUAUAUUCUUACCCUUCGUGGACUGCAGUGAUUCACGUGGAAAUGCCAAACUUGACUUGUUAGUAUCUUACCAGAGGCGCGGAAAUAUCAUUUACUGACGAUACGCUAUUUUCAUUUACAAUGUUUUCGAAAAACUGUAAAUCUGCGAUUACCGACGGUUCAAAAUUCCCCGACGAGCGGAGUGUCGCCUUAAGGUUACUGUCAACACCUGCAGAAGUUUGAGCAUAGUCCGUGAUCAUGCGCGGGUCCAUUACGAAUUAUUUGACAUUUGUUAUAGCGUCUUCAACGUUUUUCAAUCUGUCGUGAAUUGUUCAAUUUAAAAAAUAAGCAAAUGAUAUGUAUGAUAUAAUAAGACCCAAAAAAUGUUUUUCGGAAAAACCAUUAGCUUGUAAUUUUAAGAUUGUCUCCAGUUAAUCCAGUAAACCGUGAUAAAUUAAAAUGUACUCAUAGAAAAACUGUAAAACAAUCUUGUGUCGAACUAAAUAAUUUUUUUUUUCCUCUUCACUGAUUGUGAGAAGUUUAUUUCACUUUAAUGAACAACACAAAACCAAAUGGACAACUUGUAGAGAAUAGCUGUAGCGGUGUGAAAUUUGU